AAUAGAUACCCAGGUAGUCCAUGCCGUAAACGUUGGGCGCUAGAUGUGGGGACCAUUCCACGGUUUCCGUGUCGCAGCUAACGCAUUAAGCGCCCCGCCCGGGGAGUACGGCCGCAAGGCUAAAACUCAAAGGAAUUGACGGGGGCCCGCACAAGCGGCGGAGCAUGCGGAUUAAUUCGAUGCGACGCGAAGAACCUUACCAAGGCUUGACAUAUACGAGAACGCUGCAGAAAUGUAGAACUCUUUGGACACUCGUAUACAGGUGGUGCAUGGUUGUCGUCAGCUCGUGUCGUGAGAUGUUGGGUUAAGUCCCGCAACGAGCGCAACCCUCGUUCUAUGUUGCCAGCACGUAAUGGUGGGAACUCAUAGGAGACUGCCGGGGUCAACUCGGAGGAAGGUGGGGAUGACGUCAAAUCAUCAUGCCCCUUAUGUCUUGGGCUUCACGCAUGCUACAAUGGCCGGUACAAAGGGCUGCAAUACCGUAAGGUGGAGCGAAUCCCAAAAAGCCGGUCUCAGUUCGGA
rnacentral:rRNA from 1 species